rnacentral:rRNA from 1 species
AGCAGCCGCGGUAAUUCCAGCUCCAAUAGCGUAUAUUAAAGUUGUUGCAGUUAAAAAGCUCGUAGUUGAAUUUCGGGGUUCUACCGUCGGUCGGGCUACCAAGUCUGUACUGGUGUGUAGAAUUUCUACCUUCUGGGGAACCAUCAUGUUAUUAAUUUAGCGUGGUGGGAAACCAGGACCUUUACCUUGAAAAAAUUAGAGUGUUCAAAGCAGGCUUACGUCUGAAUACAUUAGCAUGGAAUAAUAGAAUAGGACGGUGGUCCUGUUUUGUUGGUUUCUGAAUCACCGUAAUGAUUAAUAGGGAUAGUUGGGGGCAUUAGUAUUCAAUUGUCAGAGGUGAAAUUCUUGGAUUUAUUGAAGACUAACUUCUGCGAAAGCAUUUGCCAAGGAUGUUUUCAUUAAUCAAGAACGAAAGUUAGGGGAUCGAAGACGAUCAGAUACCGUCGUAGUCUUAACCAUAAACUAUGCCGACUAGGGAUCGGACGAUGUUAAUUUAUUGACUCGUUCGGCGCCUUACGGG